rnacentral:piRNA from 1 species
UNUGAUGAGGUGGCCUGUAUCCCCACAGC